UACGUAGGGUGCAAGCGUUGCUCGGAAUUAUUGGGCGUAAAGGGUAGGUAGGUGGUCUCAUUUGUCCGGGGUGAAAGCCUUGAGCUUAACUCAAGAAGUGCCCCGGAAACGGUGAGACUCGAGUACUGGAGAGGGUCGUGGAAUUCCCGGUGUAGCGGUGAAAUGCGUAGAGAUCGGGAGGAACACCAGAGGCGAAGGCGGCGACCUGGACAGUUACUGACACUCAACUACGAAAGCGUGGGGAGCAAACAGG
rnacentral:rRNA from 1 species